AGUGAACGCUGGCGGUAGGCCUAACACAUGCAAGUCGAACGGCAGCACAGUAAUAGCUUGCUCUUACGGGUUGCGAGUGGCGUACGGGUGAGGAAUACAUCGGAAUCUACUUUUUCGUGUGGGAUAACGUAGGUAAACUUACUCUAAUACCGCAUACGCCCUACGGUUGAAAGCAGGGGAUCUUCGCACCUUGUGCGAUUGAAUGAGCCGAUGUGGGAUUAGAUAGUUGGCGGGGUAAUGGCCCACCAAGGCGCCGAUCCGUAGCUUGUCUGAGAGAAGGGUAGGCCGCCUUGGAACGGAGACACGGACAAGAGGACUGAGGGAGGCAGCAGAGGGGAAUAUUAGGCAAUAGGCGCAAGCAUGAUCCAGCCAGACCGAGUGGGUGGAAGAAGCGUUCGGGUUGUAAAGCCCUUUUGUUGGGAAAGAAAAGCAGUAGGUUAAUACCCAGCUGGAGUGACGGUACCGAAAGAAGAAGCACCGGCUAACUACGUG
rnacentral:rRNA from 1 species